CUGCAGUUUUAUAUCAGUUUUCAGGAAAUAAUAAGUUGUUUUAUGUGAUCCAGCAUCAUGUACAUUAGUGUUACAUGGGACCUGUCACCAGGUUUGUGUGGCCCUGAGGGUGGCAUGAAGUAGUCCCAGCAGCAGUGACUGCACCUGGCCUUUUUGUGGUUGUUAAAGGGAUAUUCCCAUCAUGGCCAGGAUAUGCCAUCAGUGUCAGGCGCCGGUCCCACCUUUGGGACCUGCUCAUUUCUCAAAAAUCGGGCCCCCAAAGGUAAGAAGAGCACACAACGCAUGUGCAGCCUCCAUCCUUUCACCACUGUGGGAGUUCAGACAUUUUUUGGAAUGGAGAGGUAGGAGCUGGAAACAGUCAACACUAUCAAAGGCAAAUGGAAAAGCCUGAAAGACGCCUUUAUCCGCCAUCGCCGCAAACAAAAGGAGCAGAGGAGCGGAUCCUCCCCAGGCGGACGCUCCAGUUAUGUGCAUGCAGCACAAAUGUCUUUUUUGAUAUCGUGCACCGAAAUGCGGAGCACCGAUAGUAGCUGGGAACCCAGCCAGGCGCAAGCUGAUGAGGAAGAGGACGAGGGCACAAUGGACAGUGAGCCGGGCCCAUCUAUGGGGCCAACGAGUCCUCCAGCCCCCCCCCCCACUCCGACUUUCGUCAGCCCCAUGCAGACUGUCCAAGCCGUACCAGAGGCAACUCGGCAGACCAGACAUAAAAGGAGGAGAACGGAGAGACAGGAGGACCGCCUAAUCGGCUGCCUAGAUGCCCUGGCACAUCCUGUGCCCAAACUUAGCAGCGACGCAUAUUUUCUCCUGAGUCUAGAGGAGAAAAUGCUGCAUGUGCCGAGACAUCUGAUCACCAAAGUAAGGGAGGAGGUGACUAACACCAUAGACAAGUAUUGCCUCCCUUACGAGCUAGCAACAUCUAGCACUGCCCCACAGCAUCCCCCACAGCAUCCCCCACAGCAGCCACUACAGCAGCCACCACAGCAGCCACCACAGCAGCCACCACAGCAGCCACCACAAUAUGGCCACCAAUAUGGGGCACAAUAUUGCCCACAAUAUGCCCCACAAUAUGGCCCACUACAUCCCCAACAUGCACAACAACACCCUCACACAUACCCAGCACACACAUACACACAAAGUAACAUACAACACCCUCUUGAGACAUGGCAGACACAACACACAUCAUACCCAUAUCCCUCUUCAAGCACGGGCCCAAGCACCUCCACCAUCACCACCACUGAAAUGCCACCCGCCAAUCAGUCUCGCGGAGCCAGAGAGACACGGCGGGAUCCCGAGGCAGAGUUUUCGGGGCCGCAAUAUGAAACCCUUUGAUAAACGGAGAAGAGGGAAAUUCUCCGGCUCAAGGGUUUGGGAGCCAAAAAGGGCACUUAUCUUGAAAAUUGUUGGUCAUAUUUAUAUGUUA